GCUUGUGCUCCUAAUCCUGGUGAUCCUACUGGCUCUCUGCAUGAGGAAAAAGACCUCCCCCUCCUCCAGAGUGCAACCCAACGAGCUCCGACAGCCUGAAGAGGUGAUGCUUU